rnacentral:rRNA from 10 species
CCCCGGUAAACGGCGGCCGUAACUAUAACGGUCCUAAGGUAGCGAAAUUCCUUGUCGGGUAAGUUCCGACCUGCACGAAUGGCGUAAUGAUGGCCAGGCUGUCUCCACCCGAGACUCAGUGAAAUUGAACUCGCUGUGAAGAUGCAGUGUACCCGCGGCAAGACGGAAAGACCCCGUGAACCUUUACUAUAGCUUGACACUGAACAUUGAGCCUUGAUGUGUAGGAUAGGUGGGAGGCUUUGAAGUGUGGACGCCAGUCUGCAUGGAGCCGACCUUGAAAUACCACCCUUUAAUGUUU